UUUAUCAAAAACAUGGCUCCUUGUAAUUUCAUAGAUAUGGAGUCGGACCUGCCCAGUGAAAUUAUUUCAACGGCCGCGGUACCCUGACCGUGCGAAGGUAGCAUAAUCAUUUGCCUUAUAAUUGAAGGCUUGUAUGAAUGGUUUGACUAGAACAAAGCUGUCUCUUUAUAGUUUUAUAAAACUUUAUUUUCGGGUGAAGAAGCCCGAAUAAAAUUAAUAGACAAGAAGACCCUAUCGAGCUUUAAAAAAAUUAAUAGAAUUAAAUUAUUUAUAUUAAUAUAAAAUUAACUAUUAAAAAUUUUGGUUGGGGCGACUUAGGAACAAAUAAAGCUUCCUUAAAUUUUUAAACUUACGAAUCUUGAUCCAAAAAUUUUUGAUUAAAGAAAUUAGUUACCGUAGGGAUAACAGCAUUAUCUCUUUUGAGAGUUCUUAUCGAAAAGGGGGUUUGUGACCUCGAUGUUGGACCAGAAUAUCCUAAAGAUGCAGAAGUCUUUAAGGGUUGGUCUGUUCGACCAUUAAAAUUCUACGUGAUCUGAGUUCAGACCGGCGUGAGCCAGGUCAGUUUCUAUCUUUAAUUAUUAAUUUAAGCUUAGUACGAAAGGACCAGCUUAUAAUAUUAAAUAUUAUAAAUGAAAAAAUAUAAUUAGAAAUUGUCAAAUUAGCAAAUUUAAUGCAAUUGACUUAGGAUCAAUAGAUAUAGGUGAAAGUCCUUUAUUUGACAAAAUAAAGAUGGCAGACUUAGUGCAUUAGGUUU
rnacentral:rRNA from 1 species